rnacentral:rRNA from 1 species
AACGAACGCUGGCGGCAUGCCUAACACAUGCAAGUCGAACGAGACCUUCGGGUCUAGUGGCGCACGGGUGCGUAACGCGUGGGAACCUGCCCUUAGGUUCGGAAUAACUCCCCGAAAGGGGUGCUAAUACCGGAUAAUGUCUUCGGACCAAAGAUUUAUCGCCUUUGGAUGGGCCCGCGUUGGAUUAGCUAGUUGGUAGGGUAAAAGCCUACCAAGGCGACGAUCCAUAGCUGGUCUGAGAGGAUGAUCAGCCACACUGGGACUGAGAAACGGCCCAGACUCCUACGGGAGGCAGCAGUGGGGAAUAUUGGACAAUGGGCGAAAGCCUGAUCCAGCAAUGCCGCGUGAGUGAUGAAGGCCUGAGGGUUGUAAAGCUCUUUUACCCGGGAUGAUAAUGACAGUACCGGGAGAAUAAGCUCCGGCUAACUCCGUG